rnacentral:rRNA from 1 species
AAGACCUUGCGCUUUUGGAGCGGCCGAUGUCUGAUUAGCUUGUUGGUAAGGUAAAAGCUUACCAAGGCUUCGAUCAGUAGCUGGUCUGAGAGGACGACCAGCCACACUGGGACUGAGACACGGCCCAGACUCCUACGGGAGGCAGCAGUGGGGAAUUUUGGACAAUGGGGGCAACCCUGAUCCAGCCAUGCCGCGUGAGUGAAGAAGGCCUUCGGGUUGUAAAGCUCUUUCAGCCGGAAKGAAACGGUUACGGUUAAUACCCGUGACUACUGACGGUACCGGAAGAAGAAGCACCGGCUAACUACGUGCCAGCAGCCGCGGUAAUACGUAGGGUGCAAGCGUUAAUCGGAAUUACUGGGCGUAAAGCGUGCGCAGGUGGUUUUGUAAGUCAGAUGUGAAAUCCCCGGGCUUAACCUGGGAACU